ACGAUGGUCUAGGGUCCGGGAAAAGACAGGUGCAACCAUGUACAAGGCCGUCGGAUCGCGAGGCUCCCGCGUCAGCCGGGUGCUCUGG
rnacentral:ncRNA from 1 species